GGGAACGCCGUGGCUGUAGCUGCCGCCUCAGGUUUGUGGCUGUCGCCCUUGGCAAAGUUGAAGGGUGGGCUUCGUCCCCCUACCCCUCCCCGGGCCUACCCCGGGGCCCCCGGCCCGCUUGGGGAAGGCCCCGGCUCGGCCCGGCCCCGCCCCUGAUCCUCCAGGAAAGCGAGAUGGCGGCACUGGAAAGCCGUUCCCUUUCUCAGCUUCCCGGUGGCUGGAAUGUUCGGCCCAGUAAGAGCCGGGUCCCUGCUGAGGAUGCGCAGCCGCUUAAGGUCGAGAAGCGCUUCAGAAACGGUGCCGGAGCGUCGUCGCCAGAGGUGGGGAGAGAAGGGGGAAACAAAAGACUGAAGACCAGCGUGCGCCAGAUUAUGCAGAGGAAUGCGUGCAGCUCUGCCCUGGCAGAAGGAUGGGAAGGAGAGUUUGGCCCAAGGGACAAACCCAGACUCCCCACAUCACUGCAGUGUCAAACUCAGGCGUGCCCUUCGCUCUCCACAGCUCCUGUGCAGUGAGCAGUCCCAGUCUCAACAGGAGGAGGGAGGAGUCAGUUCCCCUGCCCAGUUGAGCACUAAGCUGUGGAAGCAGCGGUACCAGCACCGCAGCAAGAGGGCAGGGAGCAGCGGUUGGAGAUAAGGACAUUGGAGCCAGUGUUGCCUUCAGAGAAACGCACGUGGCACCCUCCUUCUGGGGGAGAAAUCAGUCCCUGGGAAGAGCCCGUGCUCCUCAUCUGAAUUCUCCAACCCUCCUGUGCGUGGGCUGCACCGUGACCCCAAUGCUGUAAAAGCACUCUGGCCAUGAGCACUUUCACCCCUAAUCUGAUCCCUGAAAACCAAGCCUUAGAAGAUGUGUAAAGUACUUACUCACUUCUGAACAUGCUUUAAAGCUAUCCCUUGGAGCAGACGGAGUUUAUUUUGUAAUCUCUUUACAGCAGCUGAGCC
rnacentral:lncRNA from 1 species